CACAAUAGUGUAUCACACACACAUCUCACCAAACCUCAUAGAAAUCACCCCCUCACCGUAGUCUACCAUACGGGUGACAUUGCGAUAGCCACUGCCCCUGGCGCAAAUCACCACCAUCAUAGCGCACAUCACAGGUUUAUGAAACUCAUGCUCGUUUGGCAAUAGAAGUUGGAGACUUGGCAGAAUAUAAUCAGUGUCAAUCACAGUUGAAAACACUUUAUGCGGAGGGAAUAAGGGGUGCCACAUGGAAUUUUCUGCUUACAAUUUACUGUGUUGUCUUGCACGCCAACAAUAGCAGAGAUCUGGUAUCAGCAAUGUCAAGGUUAGCACAUCCAUCUUGCAUUUGUGUUAUUACUCAUUGAUCUUGUUUGUCAAUCUCUUAUUAUAUCAUUGCUGCUUUCGGAGUUGUUACAUUGUGUUGGUUACAAUCACUGAUAAUUUUGUUGAUUUGUUGCAGACUAAAUUUAAAUUUUAAAUUGUGUUUUGUACUUGGCUUUUUAUUUAAUACCUUGAACUGUCAUGAAAAGUUAUGUGUGGGUGGUUGACUUAUUUGUAUAUCAAAUCAUAGAUAUUUUUGUGCCCAAGUUAGAUGCACUGAAGAAAACCAUUGAAUUUUGCUAAAGUGGAAUUUCGAUGUGAGUACUUCGGAAAACUAUUGACAAUAGUAUUGCUUUUCAAUGCAUUGUUUGGUACGGAAUUUAAUUUCUUUUCAUUUUUGGUAAGACAUUUCAUUUCAGCAACUUGAUGGUUAACGUAAGACUAUUUUGAAAAUUUGAUAGUAGACUAUUGAAUGAAUGUCUAAAACCUAAUCAAACCCAACGAUGCCUUAUCCCAACUACAUGGGGGUUGAAACGUACUCUAAUCAAUCAAAAUAUAUGACUUACUGGAUGCUCAAAAUAGAGUUGGUUUAUCUUUUCUCUUCUGACUUACUUGAUAAAUAAUAUAAAAAAAAGAAAAGUAAACCCCA